rnacentral:rRNA from 1 species
GAGUGAUCAAGUGUCUUAAGGGCAUUUGGUGGAUGCCUUGGCAUGCACAGGCGAUGAAGGACGUGAUACGCUGCGAUAAGCGUCGGGGAGGUGCGAAUACCCUUUGAUCCGACGAUUUCCGAAUGGGGCAACCCACCUUAGAUGACUAGAAAAUCUGUUUUGUUGGAGCAACGCUGGAUGGGUUUACACCCAUACAGACCGCUAGGUCGUCGGCCCAUGUGGGCCGCCCCCGCGGAGCGCCAGCAUUCCUCUGGAAUGCGUACGGCGCGUGAGCGAGAACAGCACAGCUUUCUAGUCAUCAUAAAUAAGGUAUCUAACCUUGAAUACAUAGGGGUUAGAAGCGAACCUGGGGAACUGAAACAUCUAAGUACCCAGAGGAAAGGACAUCAAACGAGACUCCGCUAGUAGUGGCGAGCGAACGCGGACCAGGCCAGUGGCUUUUGUGAAUAAAGUGGAACGAGUUGGAAAACUCGACCGAAGUGGGUGAUAGUCCCGUACACGUAGAAUAGCAGAAGUCCUUGAGUAGGGCGGGACACGUGAAAUCCUGUCUGAACAUGGGUCGACCACGAUCCAAGCCUAAGUACUCGUGCAUGACCGAUAGCGAACCAGUACCGUGAGGGAAAGGUGAAAAGCACCCCGACGAGGGGAGUGAAACAGUACCUGAAACCGGAUGCCUACAAACAGUUGGAGCCCAAGGUUUGUCCUGGGUGACAGCGUACCUUUUGUAUAAUGGGUCAGCGACUUAGUGUAUCGAGCAAGCUUAAGCCGGUAGGUGUAGGCGCAGCGAAAGCGAGUCUGAACAGGGCGUUCAGUUCGAUGCAUUAGACCCGAAACCAAGUGAUCUAGCCAUGAGCAGGUUGAAGGUACGGUAACACGUACUGGAGGACCGAACCCAUAUCUGUUGCAAUAGAUCGGGAUGACUUGUGGCUAGGGGUGAAAGGCCAAUCAAACUUGGAGAUAGCUGGUUCUCCGCGAAAUCUAUUUAGGUAGAGCGUCGACCGAAUACCCCCGGGGGUAGAGCACUGGAUGGGCUAUGGGGACUCACCGUCUUACUGAUCCUAACCAAACUCCGAAUACCGGGGAGUACUAGUCGGCAGACACACGGCGGGUGCUAACGUCCGUCGUGGAGAGGGCAACAACCCUGACCACCAUCUAAGGUCCCUAAGUUAUGGCUAAGUGGGAAAGGAUGUGAGGAUCCCAAAACAACCAGGAUGUUGGCUUAGAAGCAGCCAUCAUUUAAAGAAAGCGUAACAGCUCACUGGUCUAAAUAAGGGUCUUUGCGCCGAAAAUGUACCGGGGCUCAAGCCAUACACCGAAGCUGUGGAUGCACGUAUGUGCGUGGUAGCGGAGCGUUCCGUAAGCCUGUGAAGGGACAGUCGUGAGACAUCCUGGAGGUAUCGGAAGUGAGAAUGCUGACAUGAGUAACGAUAAAGGGAGUGAGAGACUCCCUCGCCGAAAGUCCAAGGGUUCCUGCUUAAAGUUAAUCUGAGCAGGGUUAGCCGGCCCCUAAGGCGAGGCCGAAAGGCGUAGUCGAUGGGAACCACGUUAAUAUUCGUGGGCCUGCAGGUAGUGACGGAUCGCGUGUGUUGUGAGGUCUUAUUGGAUUGAUCUUGCAGCGAAGCGGUUCCAGGAAAUAGCUCCUGCAUAUAGACCGUACCCUAAACCGACACUGGUGGACUGGUAGAGAAUACCAAGGCGCUUGAGAGAACUGCGUUGAAGGAACUCGGCAAAAUGCACGCGUAACUUCGGAAGAAGCGUGACCUCACUAUGGGCAACCAUAGGGGGGUGGCACAGACCAGGGGGUAGCGACUGUUUACCAAAAACACAGGGCUCUGCGAAGUCGCAAGACGACGUAUAGGGUCUGACGCCUGCCCGGUGCUGGAAGGUUAAGAGGAGAGGUGCAAGCCUUGAAUUGAAGCCCCAGUAAACGGCGGCCGUAACUAUAACGGUCCUAAGGUAGCGAAAUUCCUUGUCGGGUAAGUUCCGACCUGCACGAAUGGCGUAACGACUUCCCCGCUGUCUCCAACGCAGACUCAGUGAAAUUGAAUUCCCCGUGAAGAUGCGGGGUUCCUGCGGUUAGACGGAAAGACCCCGUGCACCUUUACUAUAGCUUUACACUGGCAUUCGUGACGACAUGUGUAGGAUAGGUGGUAGACUUUGAAGCAGGGGCGCCAGCCUUUGUGGAGUCACCCUUGAAAUACCACCCUUGUUUUUAUGGAUGUCUAACUGCGGCCCGUUAUCCGGGUCCAGGACCGUGUAUGGUGGGUAGUUUGACUGGGGCGGUCGCCUCCUAAAGAGUAACGGAGGCGCGCGAUGGUAGGCUCAGAACGGUCGGAAAUCGUUCGUCGAGUGCAAUGGCAUAAGCCUGCCUGACUGCAAGACUGACAAGUCGAGCAGAGACGAAAGUCGGUCAUAGUGAUCCGGUGGUCCCGCGUGGAAGGGCCAUCGCUCAACGGAUAAAAGGUACGCCGGGGAUAACAGGCUGAUGACCCCCAAGAGUCCAUAUCGACGGGG